rnacentral:rRNA from 1 species
AUUGAACGCUGGCGGCAGGCUUAACACAUGCAAGUCGAGCGGAGAUGAGGUGCUUGCACCUGAUCAUAGCGGAGUACCGGGGAGUAAUGCUUCGGAUGGUGCCUAUUAGUUGGGGGAAACUUGCCGAAAUGAAGGCUAGUUCCGACGACGUCCUGCGGUAGAACGCAGAGGUGCUUCGGCCCUUGCUUAAAUAGUUGAGCCUAAGUCGGAUUAGCUAGUGGGUGGGGUAAAGGCCGACCAAGGCGACGAUCUGUAACGGGUCUACGAGGAUGAUCCGCCACACUGGGACUGAGACACGGCCCAGACUCCUACGGGAGGCAGCAGUGGGGAAUAUUGGACAAUGGGGGGAACCCUGAUCCAGCCAUGCCGCGUGUGUGAAGAAGGCCUUAUGGUUGUAAAGCACUUUAAGCGAGGAGGAGGCUACUGAGACUAAUACUCUUGGAUAGUGGACGUUACUCGCAGAAUAAGCACCGGCUAACUCUGUGCCAGCAGCCGCGGUAA